rnacentral:rRNA from 1 species
GACGAACGCUGGCGGCGUGCUUAACACAUGCAAGUCGAACGGAAAGGCCCUGCUUUUGUGGGGUGCUCGAGUGGCGAACGGGUGAGUAACAAGUGAGUAACCUGCCCUUGACUUUGGGAUAACUUCAGGAAACUGGGGCUAAUACCGGAUAGGAGCUCCUGCUGCAUGGUGGGGGUUGGAAAGUUUCGGCGGUUGGGGGUGGACUCGCGGCUUAUCAGCUUGUUGGUGGGGUAGCGGCUUACCAAGGCUUUGACGGGUAGCCGGCCUGAGAGGGUGACCGGCCACAUUGGGACUGAGAUACGGCCCAGACUCCUACGGGAGGCAGCAGUGGGGAAUAUUGCACAAUGGGCGGAAGCCUGAUGCAGCAACGCCGCGUGCGGGAUGACGGCCUUCGGGUUGUAAACCGCUUUCGCCUGUGACGAAGCGUGAGUGACGGUAAUGGGUAAAGAAGCACCGGCUAACUACGUG